rnacentral:rRNA from 1 species
UGAUGACGAGACGCUAAGGCGUUGAAGCAGUGUAUGUCAGACUUCCAAGAAAAGCUCGCAAUGUCACAAAUAAAAACUGCCUGUACCAUAACCGACACAGGUGGGUAGGUAGAGUAUACUAAGGGGCGCGAGAUAACUCUCUCUAAGGAACUCGGCAAAAUGACUCCGUAACUUCGGGAGAAGGAGUGCCUUAUUUAUAAGGUUGCAAUAACAAGAUCCAAGCAACUGUUUAUCAAAAACACAGGUCUCCGCUAAGUCGUAAGACGAUGUAUGGGGGCUGACGCCUGCCCAGUGCCAGAAGGUUAAAGAAGUUGGUUAGUGUAUGCGAAGCUGAUGACUGAAGCCCUGGUGAACGGCGGCCGUAACAAUAACGGUCCUAAGGUAGCGAAAUUCCUUGUCGGGUAAGUUCCGACCCGCACGAAAGGCGUAAUGAUUUGGAUACUGUCUCGGAGAGAGGCUCGGUGAAAUAGACUUGUCUGUGAAGAUGCGGACUACCUGCACCAGGACAGAAAGACCCUAUGAAGCUUUACUGUAACUUGAAAUUGGAAUUGGACUUUGCUUGCGCAGUAUAGGUGGGAAGCGUUGAAAAUAUUCUUGCGGGAGUAUUGGAGCUAUCAGUGAGAUACCACUCUUGUAAUGUUAGAUUUCUAACUUUGAACCAUAAUCUGGUCAAAGAACAGUUUCAGGUGGGCAGUUUGACUGGGGCGGUCGCCUCCCAAAUGGUAACGGAGGCGUACAAAGGUUUCCUCUGAACGGAUAGAAAUCGUAUCUAGAGUGUAAAGGCAUAAGGAAGCUUGACUGUGAGACCUACAAGUCGAGCAGGGACGAAAGUCGGUCUUAGUGAUCUGACGGUACUGAGUGGAAAGGCCGUCACUCAACGGAUAAAAGUUACUCUAGGAUAACAGGCUGAUCUCCCCCAAGAGUUCACAUCGACGGGGAGGUUUGGCACCUCGAUGUCGGCUCAUCGCAUCCUGGGGCGGUAGUACGUCCCAAGGGUUGGGCUGUUCGCCCAUGAAAGCGGUACGCGAGCUGGGUUCAGAACGUCGUGAGACAGUUCGGUCCAUAUCCGGUGUAGGCGCUAGAAUAUUGAGAGGAGCCUUCUUUAGUACGAGAGGACCGAGAAGGACACACCGCUGGUGUACCAGUUAUCGUGCCAACGGUAAACGCUGGGUAGCUAUGUGUGGAGUGGAUAACCGCUGAAAGCAUCUAAGUGGGAAGCCCACCUCGAGAUGAGUAUUCAC